GAUUAGAGCAGUAAGAAAGGUACAUGAUGCUCUUCCGUCUAUUCCCGUCCAGAGCGCUCCGGUCUCCAUUAGCUAGUUGGUGAGGUAACGGCUCACCAAGGCCACGAUGCGUAGCCGACCUGAGAGGGUGAUCGGCCACACUGGGACUGAGACACGGCCCAGACUCCUACGGGAGGCAGCAGUUAGUUAUCUUACAGCAAUAGAUGAUAGUCUGACGAGCACCGCCGCAUGAGUAAGAAUGUUUUUUCGGAUCGUAAAACUCUGUUGUUAGGGAAGAACAAGUAUCGGAGUAACUGCCGGCUACCUUGACGGUACCUAACCAGAAAGCCACCGACUAAUCUACCUGCCAGCAGCCGCUGUAAUACGUAGGUGGCAAGCGUUGUCCGGGAAUUAUUGGGCGUAAAGCGCGCGCAGGUGGUUUCUUAAGUCUGAUGUGAAAGCCCCCGGCUCAACCGGGGAGGGUCAUUGGAAACUGGGAGACUUGAGUGCAGAAGAGGAAAGUGGAAUUCCAAGUGUAGCGGUGAAAUGCGUAGAGAUUUGGAGGAACACCAGUGGCGAAGGCGACUUUCUGGUCUGUAACUGACACUGAGGCGCGAAAGCGUGGGGAGCGAACAGGAUUAGAUACCCUGGUAGUCCACGCCGUAAACGAUGAGUGCUAAGUGUUAGAGGGUUUCCGCCCUUUAGUGCUGCAGCAAACGCAUUAAGCACUCCGCCUGGGGAGUACGGCCGCAAGGCUGAAACUCAAAGGAAUUGACGGGGGCCCGCACAAGCGGUGGAGCAUGUGGUUUAAUUCGAAGCAACGCGAAGAACCUUACCAGGUCUUGACAUCCUCUGACAAUCCUAGAGAUAGGACGUUCCCCUUCGGGGGACAGAGUGACAGGUGGUGCAUGGUUGUCGUCAGCUCGUGUCGUGAGAUGUUGGGUUAAGUCCCGCAACGAGCGCAACCCUUGAUCUUAGUUGCCAGCAUUCAGUUGGGCACUCUAAGGUGACUGCCGGUGACAAACCGGAGGAAGGUGGGGAUGACGUCAAAUCAUCAUGCCCCUUAUGACCUGGGCUACACACGUGCUACAAUGGAUGGUACAAAGGGCUGCAAGACCGCGAGGUUUAGCCAAUCCCAUAAAACCAUUCUCAGUUCGGAUUGCAGGCUGCAACUCGCCUGCAUGAAGCCGGAAUCGCUAGUAAUCGCGGAUCAGCUGCCACGA
rnacentral:rRNA from 2 species